CACUCCUACGGGAGGCAGCAGUGGGGAAUUUUGGACAAUGGGCGAAAGCCUGAUCCAGCCAUGCCGCGUGCAGGAUGAAGGCCUUCGGGUUGUAAACUGCUUUUGUACGGAACGAAACGGCCUUUUCUAAUAAAGAGGGCUAAUGACGGUACCGUAAGAAUAAGCACCGGCUAACUACGUGCCAGCAGCCGCGGUAAUACGUAGGGUGCAAGCGUUAAUCGGAAUUACUGGGCGUAAAGCGUGCGCAGGCGGUUAUGUAAGACAGUUGUGAAAUCCCCGGGCUCAACCUGGGAACUGCAUCUGUGACUGCAUAGCUAGAGUACGGUAGAGGGGGAUGGAAUUCCGCGUGUAGCAGUGACAUGCGUAGAUAUGCGGAGGAACACCGAUGGCGAAGGCAAUCCCCUGGACCUGUACUGACGCUCAUGCACGAAAGCGUGGGGAGCAAACAGGAUUAGAUACCCGAGUAGUCCCAUG
rnacentral:rRNA from 1 species